rnacentral:rRNA from 1 species
CAGUAGCCACGGUAAUACGAAGGGUGCAAGCGUUACUCGGAAUUACUGGGCGUAAAGCGUGCGUAGGUGGUGGUUUAAGUCCGUUGUGAAAGCCCUGGGCUCAACCUGGGAAUUGCAGUGGAUACUGGAUCACUAGAGUGUGGUAGAGGAUAGUGGAAUUUCCGGUGUAGCAGUGAAAUGCGUAGAGAUCGGAAGGAACAUCUGUGGCGAAGGCGACUAUCUGGGCCAACACUGACACUGAGGCACGAAAGCGUGGGGAGCAAACAGGAUUAGAUACCCGAGUAGUCCCUGUCUCUUAUAA